rnacentral:rRNA from 1 species
UGAGCAAUCUGCCCUUCUCAUCGGAAUAAGCGUUGGAAACGACGUCUAAUGCCGAAUACGACCUCCUUUCGCAUGAUCGGAGGUGGAAAGCUCCGGCGGAGAAGGAUGAGCUCGCGGCCUAUCAGCUUGUUGGUGGGGUGAUGGCCUACCAAGGCGACGACGGGUAGCCGGCCUGAGGAGGGCGACCGGCCACACUGGGACUGAGACACGGCCCAGACCUCCGUACGGGAGCAG